AUUUGCUCUUCAGGACCUGCUGGAGUCAGCAGCAGCCCAGGGAUGGCACGUUGAAGAUGGGGAAGGAAAGCGCACCAGAGACACAUCCUGGAGAAGAUGGAAGCACGCACAGCAUUCUCUGCAAGUGGUAAUUUAGACUCUGCGAGCCAAGCUGAGUUCAGCAGACGUCACCCUCAAUGGCCGUGGUGGUGCCUCGGAAGGUUGCUGCGCUGAACGUACCAGGGAAGCAAAAGCUAACAGCACAAAUGAGAAGCACAGGACCCAGAACCCGGACAAGAAGGAGAAGGGAGUCUCUGACACAGACAGUCAGAGAUCAGGCCAAUGAGGUCAAAGGGAAAACUCAGAACUCAGUUCCACUAAUAAAGGAAGGCCCUGGGAUCCCUAUGGAUCUGAAGACCAGGUCCCAACCUUAAAAUACUCACAAUUACACUUGUCAGCCAAGUAGCCAAACACAGGUGCCCAUACAGUGUAACUGGAGAUAGACACUUUCUCUGGUUGUGUCUGUGAGGGAAGGAGGCUGGAGAAAGAAGAAUCGGGAACACAUGAAUCUCACUGUGAAGGGGACAUAGAAAAGACAUCACAGCUGCGGUGCUGAGCUGUUUCCUCCUGUAGAUGAAGGAGCCAGUGAGCUCUGUCCUCCGAAAGAGAAGCCCCUAGUGCACCAACAUAGACUGAAGUUAUGAAGAGCAAAUAACAGACCAAAUGAAGAUAUGCACAUAUGGAGUCUUUUUUUUAUAAUGGGUACUGUGUAUACCCAGAGCUCCCCCAAGAGAUCAAAGAAAUUGGUUUUUGAAAGUUCGCUCGCCUAAGCAAAAUUGAAGACAAACACCCACGGCCUGGUUCCUGGCAUGAAGAAGCUGCUGCUUGUGCAAAUGGUAAAUAAAAACAGAUAGAACAUGGAGAACACCUUCAGGCGUUUCCUGCCUUGUAGAGGAGAUGCUUUUUGCCUAGGGAGAGAUCUGAACUCUAAGUGGUAACUGCUUGAAGGUGCAGAUGCAGUUACCUUGUUUAUUAUACAAAUCUGUGCUUCAUUGCUGCCUACUGAAAUUAUCUGGCACAGUGAGAACAAAGCACACAACAAACCCACUUAAGAGUUUACUAGAGACACAAGUACAGCCCUGGGGAAGUCAGUGUGGAGAAAAAGAGCUCGAAGAUGGCAAGCCUGUCCUGGAACUAGCUCUUGUAGACCACGCUGGCCUCGAACUCACAGAGAUCCGCCUGCCUCUGCCUCCCGAGUGCUGGGAUUAAAGGUGUGUGCCAGCACCGCCCUGCUGACAGCCCCCACUUUUAAAAGCUGCAUAGCUCAUGGUGGGGGUGGUGUCCACACAAGGGCUUACAUUUCUGUGUCAUAUGUAGGUGACCAACUGUCUUGCGCUCGGCCUUGU